UGGGGAAUAUUGCACAAUGGGCGCAAGCCUGAUGCAGCCAUGCCGCGUGUGUGAAGAAGGCCUUCGGGUUGUAAAGCACUUUCAGCGAGGAGGAAGGUGGUGAACUUAAUACGUUCAUCAAUUGACGUUACUCGCAGAAGAAGCACCGGCUAACUCCGUGCCAGCAGCCGCGGUAAUACGGAGGGUGCAAGCGUUAAUCGGAAUUACUGGGCGUAAAGCGCACGCAGGCGGUUUGUUAAGUCAGAUGUGAAAUCCCCGGGCUCAACCUGGGAACUGCAUUUGAAACUGGCAAGCUAGAGUCUCGUAGAGGGGGGUAGAAAUUCCAGGUGUAGCGGUGAAAUGCGUAGAGAUCUGGAGGAAUACCGGUGGCGAAGGCGGCCCCCCUGGACGAAGACUGACGCU
rnacentral:rRNA from 1 species